AANUUUGUGUGGAAUUAUUUCUCCCAUAAAAGCACUGUUCAAUUUGAUCACAAGCAUGUUCUUAUCAGUGAGAAAACGCCACUGUACUUUCAGCAUGAUGGACAUUCAAGAACAAUAGUUGGAAUUCAAGUCAAGCAUCAACGGUCUGGAAUUCCACAAUACAAUCUCCUGGUUCUGGAUCCCAGUCAUGUGCUUCUUGAUCAAUUGAAACUGGUCAAACUACAAAGCUUAACGAAUUUAAAAAAAUAAUAUAACCCUUACUAUAUUUAUAUGAACUUUUCAGUUCGUUUUUUCUGUUAACCGGUCGUAUUCUUUGGAUUAGCAAGUAAGGAUAUGCAAUUUGAAGUAGAUUAAGAUGUGUUUUCUUCCUACUCUUUUUUGUGUGCUUAUUAAGGGAAUGAAUCUGGAAUAUACAUGUUAUGUAGUAGUGAUGGUAUGACAUCCUUUCAAAUGUUGUGACUUAU